rnacentral:rRNA from 1 species
GACGAACGCUGGCGGCGUGCUUAACACAUGCAAGUCGAACGGAAAGGCCCUGCUUUUGUGGGGUGCUCGAGUGGCGAACGGGUGAGUAACACGUGAGUAACCUGCCCUUGACUUUGGGAUAACUUCGGGAAACUGGGGCUAAUACCGGAUAGGAGCUCCUGCUGCAUGGUGGGGGUUGGAAAGUUUCGGCGGUUGGGGAUGGACUCGCGGCUUAUCAGCUUGUUGGUGGGGUAGUGGCUUACCAAGGCUUUGACGGGUAGCCGGCCUGAGAGGGUGACCGGCCACAUUGGGACUGAGAUACGGCCCAGACUCCUACGGGAGGCAGCAGUGGGGAAUAUUGCACUAUGGGCGGAAGCCUGAUGCAGCAACGCCGCGUGCGGGAUGACGGCCUUCGGGUUGUAAACCGCUUUCGCCUGUGACGAAGCGUGAGUGACGGUAAUGGGUAAAGAAGCACCGGCUAACUACGUG